GGUGAAUUGCCUUGGGUGAAAAGCAUCUAUGGUUAAGACAUGCGUCUGGGUCUGGAGCCUGGCUGCCCUGGGAUCCCCACAUCACAUAUGUGGUAAGAGUUGGUUAUCUCUCAGCAGGGGCAAAGGGGGUGGCCUGAUCAUGUGAUCUCUCAUCCCAGGGCAGGAUCAGGAUAGCCCAGGCUUGCUCACAUAAUGGUAACAGAGUUGCAAGAAAGAGACUGGAAGUACACAAGACCUCUUGGAACAGGCUCAGAGCUGACACAAUCUGCUCUUGGUCAAAGCCAGGCACCGGACCAGCCCAGAAUCAAGGCUGCUUAUUCUAUUCUUCUUCUUCUUCUUUUUUUUUUUUUUUUAAAUGUUUAUUCAUUUUUUUGAGAGACGGAGAGAGACAGGGCGUGAGUGGGGGAGGGGCAGAGAGAGAAAGAGAGAGAGAGAGAGAGAGGAGACAGAAGCCAAAGCAGGCUCUAGGCUCUGAGCUGUCAGCACAAAGCCCGAUGCAGGGCUCGAACCCGUGACCUGAAUCGAAGGCAGAUGCUUAACCGACUGAGCCACCAAGGCACCCCUGCUUAUCUUAUUUUCCUUAUGUACUGAUGUUGGUCAUUCAAAUACAGAGUGCUCAUGACAGCAUUAUGCUUUCGGAUUCUAAGCAUUCAGCAGAUUUAAGCAUUUAUUUGGGGAUUAUUUUUCCUACUAUAUUUUUGAACGUAUUUGCUAUUUUAUUUGUUCAUUUUUUCUUUGCAAACACCAGUUAUGUAUUUUUGGAUACACUUUAACUGCCACUCUUGUCUAUCCUCUUCCUUAUAACCUCUUUUUGCUACUAUUAUAUACACCUAGAAUGUCCCUUUAGAAAUUUGCAGGCCUAAAAGUGUCACGUUAUUAAUCCAGGUUUUAGAUAAAAUGCCACAUGGUUAGAGAGACCUCUCCUAGUCACCCAAUCUAAAGAAGACCUUACCUUUUCAUCUUCUAUCACAUAGUCUUGUUUUACUUUUUUUACUAGGACUACAUAUAUUUAUUCUAUGUAUUUUAUUUUUUCUACCCCCUCCCCCACCAUCCUAGAUUAUAAACUCUAUGAAGGCAGAGAUGCUUCUAAUCUUAAACCCCGCUAAAACUCCAGCAUUCAGCAGCGCUCCUGGCAUAUAGGGGGUAUUCAGUAAUUGGUUGUUGAAUGAAUGAAUGAAAGUCCUGUCUGUUUUAAGGUAAAUUUUUUUAAUGUUUAUUUAUUUUUGAGAGAGAGCGUGAGUGGUGGGGGGCAGAGAGAGACGGGGCCACAGAAUCUGAAGCAGGCUCCAGGCUCUGAGCUGUCAGCACAGAACCUGACGCAGGGCUCGAACUCAUGAACUGUGAGAUCAUGACCUGAGCUGAAGUCGGACGCUCAACCAACUGAGCCACCCAGGCAGCCCUGCUUUAAGGGCCAGCCACGAGUCCCUAAAGACCUUCAGGUGACCUUGCAGUUCACUUAGUUACUGUGCACCUUCUGUUGAUGGAGAAGAAAUUACCUGGAUGUUGCUGGAAUUACCUGGAUAAUGGCUGUUAAAUCCAGUCUGGACCAUACUUCUUGCUGGCACUGGAGAAGCAAACAUAUACAUGAAACACAAUCUCUGUCUCACUGGAAGAAGAAAAAGAAGAAGAGGAGGUCCGAUGACUUCAUAUGAAUUAACUCAAUUAAUCCUCACAGCAAUCCUACAAGAUAGGCGAAUUUUUAUCCCCAUUUUACAGAUGAAACAACCAAGAUUAAGUUCUUUGCCCAAGAUCAUGUCAUUGCUAAGUACUUCAUGGCUCUGGGGUCCAUGAACUGUAUCACUGUGUUAGGUUUCCUCUCUUAAAACAUAGUGUUCCGUACCACAGAUUCUAAAAAGCAUAUAAAAUGAACUGUUUUGUUCAUUUCUUCCACAAAUACUUACUGAGCUCUAACUAUGUUCUAGGCAGUAGACUAGCCUAGGGGGGAUAAAAGGUAGCAAGAAAGACAUGUGGUUCUAUCCUUGAGAAGCUGACGGUCUCAAAGCAAAUAAAUCCAAGGACGCCAACCGAUUCAAACGUUAUAAACCAAUUCAGUUCCUCCAACCUGGGAUGGAGGGAAAGAGCAGGGGAAUUUUCUCUAGAUGUGGUGGACAGGAAGGUCUGCCUGACACGUUAGCUAAGACCUGAAGGAAGAGAUGGAGCUGAGCUGAAGGCAAGAGCAUCUGGGAUGGGGAAUGGGUGGUUUUGAGCCACUGAAAGCAGAGAGAAGAACAGCGAGAGGUGAGUUGGAGAGGUGGGUAUCCGGCCAUGCGGGGCCUCAGGGGUGAUUGUGAGUAGUUGUGAUUUCAUGCUGAAGGCAGCAGAGAGCCACGAAGAGCUUUAAGUGGGAGCGUAACGAAUGGUGUGAUCUGAUCUCUUUUUAGAAAGCACUUCUGCUUCAUGGGAAUGGAUUACAAGAAGCAGAGACCUUGUGGAGAGACCCAUGUGUGGCUUGCAUUCUCAUGGUCCCAAGAUGGCUGCAAUCCUUCCAGCCCAUAUCCAUGUUUGCAACAGGAAGAUGGAAAAGGAAGCAAGCAACAUGGAAGAAAGUAGUGACCCUUCUCUGAAAGAAAACUUUCCUUGAAACCCCCCACAGACUUCUGCUUAUAUCUCCUUGGCCAAAAUUCUGUCCCAAGGCUAGCCUUUGUUGCAAGGGACGCUGGGAAAUGCGGCUUUAUAAUGGAGUGAGGUAAGUCUCUGCCACAAUCAGAUUAGGGUGACAGGGAGAAUGGAUAUGGGGUAGACAGCCAACAGUGUCUGAUAGACCAUCCUCUGCCUUAGUUAACCUGUGAAUCUGAGUAGCCUGAAGGACAAUAUAUUUUUUAAUUUACUCAGGUCUCCAUUCUUCAUGAGUGAGCAAACUGCAUCACGAGUGCUGGCAAACCCGGGGCUGUCCUAUUUCUGAUGAUAAAGAAUCUUCCAUUUGUGAAAAGGAAAGACCGACCUUCUGUCAUCGACCUCCUUGCCACCUCCCAAGAGCAUCCCUCAGUCCCAGAACUUCUCUCUUUUUCGAGUGACUGUGUCACACAGAAGCAUUGCCAUCAGGCUUGGUAUUCUGCCACCAAGCUCAUACCAAAUAUCCUGAGAAGUUGGCUAAGUCCAAUUGAGUGCCACUUUUAUCUUACAAACUGCCUCGUGAUUCUUGGAAGGGAAGCAAUACCAGAUUUAGCUAUGGGAGAGUCUCCUCAUCAGGGUCCCCAGGGCAGUCUAGGUGACCCAGGCGUGUGAGCCAGCCAUCCCCAGUAUGUGUCUCUGGGAUGCUGAAGCCUUUAUUCUCUGUGCAUUGUAGGGCCCCUCUACCUGAGCCGAGAAGAGAAUUCCCUGGCAGAAAGCAGAGGCCUGUCUAGAAGCUGUGGCCCAUUAGCCUUGUACAAAGAUAGACUGUGCUCUGCUGGAAUCUAAUCUGGAAGCGUUUAAUACAUUUGCAGCACACGUGCCAGCUACUUAGGAGGAGGGAUGGUCAGUUUUUUCUCUAAAAGAGAAACUUCAAGCAGAAUAUAAAUCAGCCUUCUCAAUAUGCCCAUCAUACCUGACACUGAAAAGAGUCUUCAGUGAGGGGAAUUGUGGUCUCUGGGGAAGAACCUUGGCCAACAACGAAGAGAAAGAGAAGGAAAAGACCAAAAAAGAAAAGGAAGGAGAGGCUCUCAUUGUGUUGAAUCAGAAACCACUUUUUCUCUGGAAGAAAUUCAGCAAGUGAGUGUCUUGUCAACUUACUCGAGUGAAAACAGGGGCAAUUAAGACAGGACAAACCAUCCCCAAACGCUCAAGUUUGGGAUUCGUUGAACAUCUCAAGCUAUUUUCCAAAUGUUUGGGGUUUGGCACAGUCCGGGCUCAUGGUUGGGAAAUUUUCCUGAAGAUCUGUCUGAAUGGCCCUAUUUUUAUUCCAUCCCCUUGCAGUUAAUAUCCGGCUAACUCAUUCGCUCCAUGUUUUGUACUGGCUACACGUUGGAUAUCUUCAGACCCUACACGCGUCUGUUCCCCUUCAUGUGGUUCACCGAAAUCUCAGGAUAUCGUCUUCCUGCCAUUUGUGUCUUUGUCCACCAUCCUCGGGGAUUGGGACAUGGCGGCAAGGACAGAAACGGGCCCACGUCACGUGCAGCGCUGCACAAGGAUUCCAAAAACGUUUCUCAAAGCCUCAGGAGGUGCAAGAGCUGACUGCACAGUUUUGGAAAGAUUGCAUACGGAGAGGGAUUGAACUUAUUCUCUCUGGCCCUAGAGGGGUGGAACUAGGACCAGAGACGUCUGUGGGCUCACUACAAGAAGGAACUUCUCAUUUCAGAGCAGCCAGAAGGACAAAGAGCUGUGUUGUCUUCGGCAGAAGACGUGGGUCUCCAUCCGAGGUUCGUAAUGGUCCUCCAUUAAUUUUUGGAGACUGAAAAAUGUAUCAAUAAAGGUAUUCAACUAUAGACAAUGGUUGGAUCGAACGA